CAGUAGCCGCGGUAAUACAGAGGGUGCGAGCGUUAAUCGGAUUUACUGGGCGUAAAGCGUGCGUAGGCGGCUUCUUAAGUCGGAUGUGAAAUCCCUGAGCUUAACUUAGGAAUUGCAUUAGAUACUGGGAAGCUAGAGUAUGGGAGAGGAUGGUAGAAUUCCAGGUGUAGCGGUGAAAUGCGUAGAGAUCUGGAGGAAUACCGAUGGCGAAGGCAGCCAUCUGGCCUAAUACUGACGCUGAGGUACGAAAGCAUGGGGAGCAAACAGGAUUAGAUACCCCCGUAGUCCCUGUCUCUUAUAC
rnacentral:rRNA from 1 species